GGAGGAAUACCCAAGUCUGGCUGAAGGGAUCGGUCUUGAAAACCGACAGGGGUGUCAAAGCCNUGCCGGUUCAAGUCCGGCCCUCGG
rnacentral:tRNA from 1 species